UGAAAUUAUAAAAAUAAUCAAUAUUCAACUUACAGACUGAUCAACUAUAUUGCAACUGGUCCGACUGAAAGGAGAAGAAAGGCUAGCUGGCAUCGAUUAUCUAAACAGACACAUUGAUCUCUAUUAAAUUAUCUGGCAAAAUUAAUUAAUUAGUUUAUUCAAAGAAGCAAGAAUAAUUUCCUAAAAUUUUGUCAAAAUUUUGACAGAGUCUCUCCUAUAAUUAGACCAAACCCUCCUGCAAGAAAAUUCAACCAAAAGUAACAACACAGGGCCUUAGGCCCACAACAGUAAUUAUAAUGCUCAUCCGGGGCUUACAAUAAUUCUAAUCUAGAUCAAAUCCUCUAAACUCUAGUUCGGGCCCCUAGCUUCUCUACAGUUCAAAUGAUUAUUUUCAGCACUUUAAAAAUUUAUAAAAAUAUUCUUAGAUGCCCUUUACAUCAUUUUUGUAUUAAUUAAAUUUAUUUU
rnacentral:misc_RNA from 1 species